UACGUACUGUGCGAACGUUAUUCGGAAUCACUGGGCUUAAAGGGUGCGUAGGCGGCUUGCCAAGUCGGACGUGAAAUGCUAGGGCUCAACCUUGGCGCUGCGUUCGAAACUGGCAAGCUUGAGUAAGCUAGGGGUGCGUGGAACUUCCAGUGGAGCGGUGAAAUGUGUUGAUAUUGGAAGGAACGCCGGCGGCGAAAGCG
rnacentral:rRNA from 1 species